UACAGAGGGGGCAAGCGUUGUUCGGAAUUACUGGGCGUAAAGGGCGCGUAGGCGGCCUCUUAAGUCGAACGUGAAAUCCCCGGGCUCAACCCGGGAACUGCGUCCGAUACUGGGAGGCUUGAAUCCGGGAGAGGGAUGUGGAAUUCCAGGUGUAGCGGUGAAAUGCGUAGAUAUCUGGAGGAACACCGGUGGCGAAGGCGGCAUCCUGGACCGGUAUUGACGCUGAGGC
rnacentral:rRNA from 1 species